rnacentral:lncRNA from 1 species
AUGGAGGGAGGCAGAGAGAUGGAACUGAGGGAAGAAGAGGAAAAUAUGACCUAUGAACUUGGCCAAGAUUACAGCUUUGCCCUGACCUGCACUUGCUGGAUAUUUCCUCUCUGGACCUCACUGAGUGCCUGGCUGAGGCAUGGACAGUCCAGGCAGGUGGGUGAGGAGCUGUGUUCUAUUGCUUCCCUUUAUCGAAACAGGGCUCUGAGUUCCAGAAGGUUACCUACAUCAGACCGCUUCCUAGGAACCAUCUCCCAGAGUUUGUCCAAGCUGCUCACUGCUCUAUCACUUGUCUCCCCAUUACACAAGACGGGGCCAAGGUCUGUCGAACUGGAGAGAGGGUCUUCAGGCUUCCUUCCUGUGGACUGGUGGAGGAAAGGAGCAAUCUUGUGUCCAGGAGCCCAGGAGCCUGAUAAUCUAUUUCCACAGACAAGGGAUGGGGAGGAGGAGCCAGGCCUCUGCACCUGUUUGCUUAAAACAAAAAGGCUAUGCCUAGAAAAUGGCCUUGCUCACUGCCACACCUCACUCAGGUCUCAUGUCAAAGGGCAUUUCUCCCUGCAGACCUUUCUUCUAGGACCACUGAUUCUAAAAUAGAACCCAUCCCCCACAAUACCUUUUCCCUUUAGACCGUAACACCAAUCACCUUCUGAAGCACUCUUGUCCGGUGUAAGAUUUUACUGUCUUAUUUAUCACCAUCACCCCAAGGCCUCACACAGUACCUGGCACACAGUAGUUGUGCCAUCAAUAUUUGCUGAUGGAAGGCAUGCAUGACUGAGUGCCUUUUUCCCCAAUAAGUGGAAGAAAAUGGAGCAUCUAUUAUCUGCUGGGCAAGGAGGAGAGGGCAGACCAAUGCACCUCUCAUUUCUUCCAUAGCUUUUGUUAACCCAUUUCAUGGAUGGAGGAACUGGGGCUCCCUCCAGCAUCAAAGACCCAUGGAGAGUGAGUGGCCCAUGAAGCAGUCCGUUGGGAUUAAGGCCUUCGACCCCUUGGCGGUCUGGCUCCAGGCCCAGUGCUGUUUCUAAGAGUCGGGGGGCGGGGGCAGAAAAGAGACGCCAAAGGCCCCCAGAGCCCUAACAGGGGGCUGUCGCUGCGCGGCCACCAGGCUCUGGCCUCGAGCCUCGCAAGCCACACCCUGGGCCGAGCGGCNNNN